rnacentral:tRNA from 1 species
CCUUCGAUAGCUCAGACGGUAGAGCGAUGGACUGUAGAUCCAUAGAUCGCUGGUUCGAAUCCGGCUCGAAGGA